AGCUAAUUUUUGUAUUUUUGGUAGAGAUGGGGUUUCGCUGUUUUGGCCAGGCUGGUCUCAAACUUCUGAGCUCAGGUGAUCUGCCCGCUUCAGCCUCCCAAAGUGCUGGGAUUUCAGGCCUAAGCCACCGCUCCCAGACCCCACUACCCAUUUUCAUGUACAAGUUCUUUUUUAUUUUUAUUUGAUUCUUCAUCAAUCAACUUGAACAAAUUCUUUUAAUACUGUGUGUGUGUGUGUGUGUGUGUGUGUCCCAAGGAAAGUAGGCUCUGGGCCAUUGCUACCAUCCCCUGCAGCCUUGUGCCUGUCCUAAGGUCACAGUCUUCGGAACAGAGCCUUCUACCUAGAGCGCCUAGACAUACCUGCCUGCCUGCCCGCCUGCCUGCCUGCCUGCCUGCCUCGGAUGACCCUAGUGAAAGCAGAGUCUCUCCUGGGCAGGAUUCAAGGCAUCACAUCUGUCAAAUAAAAGGAUGGUCCUAGGUCAUUUCUAUGGCACCUUGCGGCUCUUUCAGUUAUCCUCAAGAAAGACCCAAGAAUAUAAGCAAUGUUUAAGCAAUAGCAGUAGAGCCACAAUCCAGCUGUUUCCAUUUGUAGAUGAUUGUCACAGAGAGUGAAUGCCUGGGUCUGAAUUAAUCCAUCCAGUCUCUAAUGCUCCCAAGUAAUCCCCAUUCUUCUGCCAAUCCCGUUAGUAUUUCCCCCCUAUUCAAAGAGUCUCCUCUCUAAACAAAACCAGACAUCACUCUCUGCUUACCUGGGUGCAGGCUCCUGUUCUUAUCCCCAGGUGUUCCUGACCUGGAAACCUUUCAUUGCUUAAUUUUGUUGUUUUUCUCCCCGCCCCGACGGCUGGUUCUUCGUUGGCUUGACUGUUUCCUUAAUCUUUGAGUCAGG
rnacentral:lncRNA from 10 species